AUUGAACGCUGGCGGCAUGCCUUACACAUGCAAGUCGAACGGUAACAGGUCUUCGGAUGCUGACGAGUGGCGAACGGGUGAGUAAUACAUCGGAACGUGCCUAGUAGUGGGGGAUAACUACUCGAAAGAGUGGCUAAUACCGCAUGAGAUCUACGGAUGAAAGCAGGGGCUCGCAAGACCUUGUGCUACUAGAGCGGCCGAUGGCAGAUUAGGUAGUUGGUGGGAUAAAAGCUUACCAAGCCGACGAUCUGUAGCUGGUCUGAGAGGACGAACAGCCACACUGGGACUGAGACACGGCCCAGACUCCUACGGGAGGCAGCAGUGGGGAAUUUUGGACAAUGGGCGCAAGCCUGAUCCAGCAAUGCCGCGUGCAGGAUGAAGGCCUUCGGGUUGCAAACUGCUUUUGUACGGAACGAAAAGCCCCGGGUUAAUACCCUGGGGUCAUGACGGUACCGUAAGAAUAAGCACCGGCUAACUACGUGCCAGCCGCCGCCGUAA
rnacentral:rRNA from 1 species